CGGGGGUGGUUGUGGUUGUGGUGGAGCGUGUGCUGGCUGUGGCUGACAGACACGUGGCGCCCUGCAACCUUGAAUUAGUACGGCCGAGACGGUAUCGGAAAGCUUCAAAGGAAGAAAGAUUGGUUAACUCGUCCUCACCUCACUCGCCACACACGGAGUCGACUAGAUCUGUGAUCCCGUGACGUCACACGGACGUAUCUGUGAUCCAGUGACGUAACCACCGGUCGUCCCCCGCGGCUGCAGCGUUACCGCCAUGCAGCCGGAAGGGAGUUAUAUGCGGGCGGUGGCCGCCGGACUGGGACCAAUGGCGUCGUCAGAGGCCAUCAAAGAGCAAAUCAGCGCCGCGGAAAACUUCUCCAUCCGCCGCAAAAACCUGCCAAGCACGUGUCUGCUGCACUACGACAAGGCACCUCUGCGACUGUCCAGCGCCCGGUUCCAGUACAUGUACGAUGACAAAGGAAGGGAGUACAUCGACUGCGCCGGGAGCAUUU